UAUUAUAUACGAUCAUAUUCAUAAUAAUAAACAUCGUCUCGCUACUUGGCAUUGAUAGGUGAUUGAUAGGUGAUUAAAAACUUCAAGUUGCAAAGAUGAGGCUCUUUAAAAUUUACAAAGAAAUUUAAGGACGUUAGAAGGCUGACUUCGCGCGAGAUGUGUCACUGCGUGUUUGCGAAAGCAAUACGAUCUUCCACUUAUAGCGUCACAAAACAACUGAAAAUGAGCCAGUAUCGUAAAAAUAAGGCCAAGCUAUACCACCAGCAAUACCAAGCAACGUAACGAUAUGUUAGUACAUUAUUGUAAAUACAUUUUAUUUGAUCCAUUCGUCGAUCGAUAAAAGUCAACAAAGAAUUCGCUUAAUGUGAAUUCCUGUAGGUGCGAAAAGAAAUUUCAAAAAAAAGAAGGAAAAAUAGUGACACGUAAUAAAGAUAUGAAAUACGAAGGUUAAGAAUACGUAAUCCUUGUUUUGGAAGGAUUCCAAACGCAAACUGUAGCAUAAACAUUAUUGCACAAUCUGCGACACGCGUGAUUAAUUUUUAAUGCACAUGUAUAAAUCCAUUUUGCUAUUUAUAUGAAUUUCGGAUUGGCAAUAAACGUAUCGAUGUAAAUGCAUCGUUGCGCGUUUGACAACGCUCGCAGUUUAUUUAUCAUCGGAUUAAUAACUUGGUAGAUUUUUCAGAAAAGAACACACAUAUUCUUUAUGCAAGAUCUUACGACCUUCUACGUUUUUCGGAGCAAAUAUCAACAAGUUAAUAAGAUAAUGUUGAAACAAGUCCGCAGGUAAUUCUGCUUGAAAUGUAGACAAACCGGUACGGUACGAAUGUAAAGUGUCUAUGAUUUUUUUCAUAUUUUGGAACAUUUCAAUAAAAUGCACGUAUAUGCGUGAUACAUAUAAUUUAAUUAUUAGCUAUACUUGAUCAGAUUCGAUAGAAUCUGCGAAUUGACAUGAUUUUAUUUUCAUGAUACAUAUAUUUCUCCAUCACUGAUCGAGUCAUUAUUCACAGUACAUAUAUAUA
rnacentral:misc_RNA from 1 species